GGAGGAGGCCAAGUGGUGAUGCCGCCGCUCCCGCCGCCUCGACUGCUGAUGCUCUAGUGAGGCUGGAAGGGUGGUUCCUCUUCGCCCCGUCGCCAACCAGAGAGCGAGGGAAAAAAAAAAACCCACCGCAGCUGCUGAUGUUGGGUUCGGAGGCUGCAUCCGACUCGGUCACAAGGAAAAUGGAUUCAGUUUGCAUCUCUCUCUCCUUUCAACAGCUUCUCCGGGUCUCAACAUGGGCUUCCAGGGCAGUGGCUGAGGAGACCUUACCAAGGAGCACCACGCAGUAGAUGCUGAAACAUCGCCCCUAGGAGAAGAAGCAGUAACAUGGCAGCCCCUGUUUGAAAGGAAUUAAAAAACAGCAGACUCCCUUUAGAAAGGAACAAUGUCCAAGAAAGGGCGAAAUAAGGGCGAGAAGCCCGAAGCGCUCAUCGUCGCCCUUCAAGCUGCCAAUGAAGACCUCAGAACCAAGCUCACAGACAUCCAGAUAGAGCUGCAUCAGGAGAAGUCCAAGGUGUCUAAGCUUGAGAGAGAGAAGACUCAAGAAGCAAAGAGGAUCCGUGAGCUGGAGCAGCGCAAGCACACGGUCCUGGUGACGGAGCUCAAAGCCAAGCUCCAUGAGGAGAAGAUGAAGGAGCUGCAGGCCGUGCGGGAGAAUCUCAUCAAGCAGCACGAGCAAGAAAUGUCCAGGACAGUGAAGCUGCGGGAUGGGGAGAUCCAGAGGCUCAAGUCGGCCCUGUGCGCCCUGCGGGACGGCAGCAGUGACAAAGUACGGACAGCGCUCACCAUCGAGGCCCGGGAGGAGGCCCGGAAACUGUUUGACGCGGAGCGCCUUAAGCUCCUACAGGAAAUCACGGACCUGAAAACGGCCAAGAAGCAGGUGGACGAGGCUCUCAGCAAUAUGAUCCAAGCGGAUAAAAUAAAGGCGGGGGACCUUCGGAGCGAGCAUCAGUCCCACCAGGAAGCCAUCUCGAAGAUCAAGUGGGAGUCAGAGCGGGAUAUUCGGAGGCUGAUGGAUGAGAUUAAAGCCAAGGACAGGAUCAUCUUUUCCCUGGAAAAGGAACUGGAAACCCAAACUGGCUAUGUACAGAAACUCCAGCUGCAGAAGGAGGCUUUGGAUGAACAGCUCUUUCUGGUCAAGGAGGCCGAGUGCAACAUGAGCAGUCCGAAACGGGAAAUUCCGGGAAGAGCAGGAGACGGCUCUGAGCACUGCGGCAGUCCUGAUUUGAGAAGAAACCAGAAGAGAAUAGCUGAAUUGAAUGCUACUAUAAGAAAAUUAGAAGACAGGAAUACUUUGCUUGGAGAUGAACGAAAUGAACUGUUAAAACGUGUGCGGGAAACCGAAAAACAAUGUAAACCUCUUCUGGAAAGGAACAAGUGCCUCGCCAAGAGAAACGAUGAACUGAUGGUGUCUUUGCAGCGCAUGGAAGAGAAGCUAAAAGCUGUAACGAAGGAAAAUUCAGAAAUGAGAGAAAAAAUAACAUCCCAUCCACCCUUGAAGAAAUUAAAAUCACUGAAUGACCUCGAUCAAGCCAAUGAAGAACAAGAGACAGAGUUUUUAAAACUUCAAGUCAUUGAGCAGCAGAACAUCAUCGAUGAGCUCACAAGGGACCGAGAAAAGCUCAUCCGUAGGAGAAAACAUAGAAGAAGUUCCAAGCCAAUUAAGAGGCCUGUUUUGGACCCAUUUAUUGGCUAUGAUGAGGACUCCAUGGAUUCAGAGACAUCAUCUAUGGCCUCGUUUAGAACAGAUCGAACACCAGCUACUCCUGAUGAUGACUUGGAUGAAAGUUUAGCAGCUGAAGAAUCAGAGCUACGGUUUCGACAAUUAACAAAAGAAUACCAGGCCCUCCAGAGAGCAUAUGCCCUCCUGCAGGAGCAGACCGGAGGCAUCAUCGAUGCUGAAAGAGAAGCCAAGGCGCAAGAACAGCUCCAAGCAGAGGUGCUAAGGUAUAAAGCCAAAAUUGAAGAUCUGGAAGCGACUCUGGCUCAGAAAGGGCAGGAUUCACACUGGGUAGAAGAUAAACAACUUUUCAUUAAGAGAAACCAGGAGCUUUUAGAAAAGAUAGAGAAACAGGAGGCAGAAAAUCACCGGUUACAGCAAGAACUACAGGAUGCCCGAGACCAGAAUGAGCUGCUGGAGUUUCGAAACCUAGAGCUAGAAGAAAGAGAGAGACGAUCCCCUCCAUUUAAUCUACAGAUUCACCCAUUCUCAGAUGGUGUGAGUGCUCUACAAAUCUACUGUAUGAAAGAAGGUGUCAAGGAUGUGAACAUCCCUGAUCUCAUAAAGCAGCUUGAUAUCUUGGGUGACAAUGGGAACUUAAGAAAUGAAGAACAAGUGGCCAUAAUUCAGGCAAGCACGGUGCUGUCCCUGGCAGAAAAGUGGAUCCAGCAAAUCGAAGGAGCAGAGGCUGCCCUCCACCAGAAGAUGAUGGAGUUGGAAAGCGACAUGGAACAAUUCUGCAAAAUAAAAGGCUAUUUGGAAGAAGAACUAGACUACAGAAAACAAGCUCUCGACCAAGCGUAUAUGAGAAUCCAGGAACUAGAAGCUACUUUGUACAAUGCUCUGCAGCAAGAAACCGUUAUCAAGUUUGGUGAAUUAUUAAGUGAAAAACAGCAAGAAGAGCUGAGGACAGCGGUAGAAAAGUUGCGGCGGCAGAUGCUGAGGAAGAGCAGAGAGUAUGACUGCCAGAUUCUUCAGGAGCGAAUGGAGCUCUUACAGCAAGCCCAUCAGAGAAUUCGUGACUUAGAAGAUAAAACAGACAUCCAGAAAAGACAGAUAAAGGACUUAGAAGAAAAGUUUCUGUUUCUAUUCUUGUUCUUCUCUCUUGCCUUUAUUCUAUGGCCUUGAUGUCAAGGUGCCUCUUAAAGGGUUUCUUUUCAGACUGCCACCUGUCCUUUGUCUGGCAAGAGGGAUGGUAACCUUGCAGAACAUAGGAAGAGGAUUGAGCCUCUCAAACUGAGUGAAAAUAUGUAAGAGUAACCGAAAACACGGAUAAGACCCCAGAAAGACAAAUGCUUCUAAACCUUCAAAGAUGGCAGAAAUGUUUACAACAGUGAGAGGGAGAUCAAAAGCUAAGAACUACCUUGUAGCCAGGACUACAACUGUGUAUUUUAAAGCCAUUAUUCAAGGUUUCUUACUUGACAGUUCCUACAUGACCCUGUUGAAAAUCUACAAUAUAUGCUGCAUUUAAUGAAACAUGUAUAUGUCAAACCAGAAGAGAAGAACUAUAAACAUAUAUUGUGUAAAGAAAAGAAAAUCAGCAAUGGAAGCAGUUUCAACAGAUCAAGCAAAGAUGUGUCUUGGGCAUGGAACCAAAGUUACAAAGAAACAUUCUACCCCUGCUGUGCAGGGGGGUCAUUUUAAUGUAACACCACACCCCAUGGAAACACUAGUCCCAAAAUAAACAUUUUAAAAAAUCAAAGCAAACAAACAAAAAAACAAAACAAAAAACAAGGGAGGGUGGGGAAUGAAGCACGAGGAAUACCUAUGAGGAGCUAUUUACAAUAAAAUGUUUCAUUUGAAAA